UACAGAGGUCCCAAGCGUUGUUCGGAUUCACUGGGCGUAAAGGGUGCGUAGGCGGUCAGACAAGUCUGAUGUGAAAGCUUCGAGCUUAACUCGGAAAUGGCAUCGGAAACUGUCUGGCUAGAGGAGUGGAGGGGGGAUUGGAAUUCUCGGUGUAGCAGUGAAAUGCGUAGAUAUCGAGAGGAACACCCGUGGCGAAGGCAAAUCCCUGGACACCUCCUGACGCUGAGGCACGAAAGCUAGGGGAGCAAACAGG
rnacentral:rRNA from 1 species